rnacentral:tRNA from 1 species
UAUUAAGUGGCCGAACUAUUCUUAAGCACUAGACUUUUAAUCUAGAUAAUGAUUUUUUUUAAUCCUUAAUGG